AUUUAGAAACGUGCAUGUAUACUAAAACUGGAAGGAUACGAAGAAGAUUAGUAUGGCCCCUGCAUAAGGAUGAUACGAAAAAUCGUGAUGCGUACGAUUUUAAA